CAAAGAUUAAGCCAUGCAUGUCUCAGUGCAAGCCGUCCAGUACGGUGAAACCGCGAAAGGCUCAUUAAAUCAGUUAUGGUUCCUUAGAUCGUACCCACGUUACUUGGAUAACUGUGGUAAUUCUAGAGCUAAUACAUGCCGACAGAGUUCCGACCAACUGUACGGAUUGGCGGCGGCUCCGGUCGUCGUCGCCGUACGGUUCGGAAGGAACGCUUUUAUUAGAUCAAAACUGGCUAAACGGCGGAUUCGCUUCGCGCGUCUCCCGUCGUAAGCGGCCCGCGCAAAGAUUUGGUGACUCUGAAUAACUUCGAGCUGAUCGCACGGUCUUCGUACCGGCGACGUAUCUUUCAAAUGUCUGCCUUAUCAACUGUCGACGGUAGGUUCGACGCCUACCGUGGUGGUAACGGGUAACGGGGAAUCAGGGUUCGAUUCCGGAGAGGGAGCCUGAGAAACGGCUACCACAUCCAAGGAAGGCAGCAGGCGCGCAAAUUACCCACUCCCAGCUCGGGGAGGUAGUGACGAAAAAUAACGAUACGGGACUCAUUAGAGGCCCCGUAAUCGGAAUGAGUACACUUUAAAACCUUGGUCACACGAGG
rnacentral:rRNA from 1 species